rnacentral:rRNA from 1 species
CCUACGGGUGGCAGCAGUGAGGAAUAUUGGUCAAUGGACGAGAGUCUGAACCAGCCAAGUAGCGUGAAGGAUGACUGCCCUACGGGUUGUAAACUUCUUUUAUAAAGGAAUAAAACGAGGCACGUGUGCCUUUUUGUAUGUACUUUAUGAAUAAGGAUCGGCUAACUCCGUUCCAGCAGCCGCGGUAAUACGGAGGAUCCGAGCGUUAUCCGGAUUUGUUGGGUUUAAGGGGAAAGUAGAUGGGUUGGUAAGUCAGUUGUGAAAGUUUGCGGAUCAACCGUAAAAUUGCAAUUGAUACUGGCAGUCUAGAGUACAGUUGAGGUAGGCGGAAUUCGUGGUGUAGCAGUGAAAUGCUUAGAUAUCACGAAGAACCCCGAUUGCGAAGGCAGGUUACUGAACUGUAACUGACGUUGAGGCUCGAAAGUGUGGGUAUCAAACAGGAUUAGAUACCCUAGUAGUC